CGAGACAACAAGCCUGCUCCCGCUGGGCUGCCUCGCAGGGGUGGGACCAUGGCUGGGCCCCCCCUAGCUCAGCGCUACGGUCCCCCAUGGCCCCCAAUCUCUGGGACCGAGGUGCCUGGAUCCUGGCCCAAAUGGCAUCUCACCAGCAGUGGUGUCGCCCACCACUUUAUCCCGUCUGUUCCCUUUCCUCCGCCCACUGUGCAGUCCACGGUCGCGGAACCCCUGCCCCCGGCCGCAAAGCAGGGCUUACACAUCUGGGAUUUUGACGAGGUCGUCAGCAGAUGGGACACAACCUCUGGCUCGGCUUCCGUGCCUAAGACUCACGGCGGGCCCUACGCACAGCCCAGGGCCCCAGAGCCUUCGGACCCCAGGCGGACUUUGGGGAUCAAGGAUUUAGGAGAAAAGCUCAGACACCACGGCUGGCGCCUCCCGCCGAUCGCAGAGCGCCAGUGCAGCGAGACGCGGGCUCAGUACGCCGGCCGCCCGGGCCUGGACCGGCAGCCCCUGGAGCCUGCGGACGACCACCGCGGAGGCCCCUCCCAGGCUUUAAUCUCCUGGACAAAGAACCCCGAGCUGUGCGGCCGGCCUUUUACAGUAUCUGACCAGGGCGUCCUGGACCGCCAUCAGCUCUAUCUGACCACCUCGGCCAAGGACUUCCGGGCCUAUCCGAAGAAGGAGUUGUCUGGAUAUCCCCGCAAGGACUCGCUGACCUCCUGGAGCUUUCAGAAUACGCCUCAGGUCUGGGGCCAGGACCCACAGCAUCCGCCCUGUCCGCACUCCUCUCGACCGCCAGGGAUCCGCGUGCCCCACGUCCACCCGGUGACCCUGGCGGUGCCGCACCGUGGGGCGUUGUCUCUGGCUCAGGAGUCCUACAGACCCCCGCUGCACCCAAUCCUCCGGCUCGACCGUUUCUGUCCGCUGCAGCUGCCCUGGGUUGGCCCCCACUGGAAGCCGGUGUCGGGCAUCUACAGCGUGCCACUGGCCUACCGCACGGAGAACUCCUGCUACGGCAGCCAGAAGCCAACCCCAAUCUGA
rnacentral:lncRNA from 1 species